AGUGAACGUUGGCGGCGUGGAUUAGGCAUGCAAGUCGAGCGAGAACCGUAGCAAUACGGGGACAGCGGCGAAAGGGACAGUAAUGUGUAGGUACCUACCCCGAGGUCUGGGAUAGCUGCGGGAAACUGCAGGUAAUACCGGAUAAUGUCUUCGGACCAAAGGUGUGAUUCCACCUUGGGAGGGGCCUGCAUCCUAUUAGCUAGUUGGCGGGGUAAUGGCCCACCAAGGCAACGAUGGGUAGCGGGUGUGAGAGCACGACCCGCGUCAUUGGGACUGAGAUACUGCCCAGACACCUACGGGUGGCUGCAGUCGAGGAUCUUCGGCAAUGGGCGAAAGCCUGACCGAGCGACGCCGCGUGCGGAUGAAGGCCUUCGGGUUGUAAACCGCUGUCGUAGAGGAGGAAAUGCAGGGGGGUUCUCCCUUCUGUUUGACCUAUUCUAGGGGGAAGGACGGGCUAAGUUCGUGCCAGCAGCCGCGGUAA
rnacentral:rRNA from 1 species